GAUGAACGCUGGCGGCGUGCCUAAUACAUGCCAGUCGAGCGAACAGACGAGGAGCUUGCUCCUCUGACGUUAGCGGCGGACGGGUGAGUAACACGUGGAUAACCUACCUAUAAGACUGGGGUAACUUCGGGAAACCGGAGCUAAUACCGGAUAAUAUAUUGAACCGCAUGGUUCAAUAGUGAAAGACGGUUUUGCUGUCACCUAUAGAUGGAUCCGCGCCGCAUUAGCUAGUUGGUAAGGUAACGGCUUACCAAGGCGACGAUGCGUAGCCGACCUGAGAGGGUGAUCGGCCACACUGGAACUGAGACACGGUCCAGACUCCUACGGGAGGCAGCAGUAGGGAAUCUUCCGCAAUGGGCGAAAGCCUGACGGAGCAACGCCGCGUGAGUGAUGAAGGUCUUCGGAUCGUAAAACUCUGUUAUUAGGGAAGAACAAAUGUGUAAGUAACUAUGCACGUCUUGACGGUACCUAAUCAGAAAGCCACGGCUAACUACGUG
rnacentral:rRNA from 1 species